AUUGAACGCUGGCGGCAGGCUUAACACAUGCAAGUCGAGCGAGCGGCGGACGGGUGAGUAAUGUCUGGGAAACUGCCUGAUGGAGGGGGAUAACUACUGGAAACGGUAGCUAAUACCGCAUACCAUCAGAUGUGCCCAGAUGGGAUUAGCUAGUAGGUGGGGUAAUGGCUCACCUAGGCGACGAUCCCUAGCUGGUCUGAGAGGAUGACCAUCCAACUUGAAACUGCGACACGGUCCAGACUCAUACGGGAGGCAGCAGGGGGGAAUAUUGCACAAUGGGGUCAAGCCUGAUGCAGCCAUGCCGCGUGUGUGAAGAAGGCCUUCGGGUUGUAAAGAACUAUCCGCGAGAAAGCGUUACUCACAGAAGAAGCACCGGCUAACUCCGUGACAGCAGCCGCGGUGAUAC
rnacentral:rRNA from 1 species